rnacentral:rRNA from 1 species
CAAUAGAUACCCCGGUAGUCCUAGCCGUAAACGAUACUCGCUAGGUGUCGGCCACGGUGCGACCGUCGUCGGUGCCGUAGGGAAGCCGUGAAGCGAGCCACCUGGGAAGUACGGCCGCAAGGCUGAAACUUAAAGGAAUUGGCGGGGGAGCACCACAACGGGUGGAGCUUGCGGUUUAAUUGGAUUCAACGCCGGAAAUCUUACCGGGACCGACAGCAACAUGAAGGCCAGGCUGAAGACUUUGCCGGAUUAGCUGAGAGGUGGUGCAUGGCCGUCGUCAGUUCGUACUGUGAAGCAUCCUGUUAAGUCAGGCAACGAGCGAGACCCACGCCCACAGUUGCCAGCGUACUCUCCGGAGUGACGGGUACACUGUGGGGACCGCCGCUGCUAAAGCGGAGGAAGGAAUGGGCAACGGUAGGUCAGUAUGCCCCGAAUAUCCCGGGCUACACGCGAGCUACAAUGGUUGGUACAAUGGGUAUCUACCCCGAAAGGGGAUGGAAAUCUCCUAAAGCCAAUCUUAGUUCGGAUUGAGGCUGCAACUCG